AGAGUUUGAUCAUGGCUCAGAUUGAGCGCUGGCGGCAGGCCUAACACAUGCAAGUCGAACGGUAACAGGAAGAAGCUUGCUUCUUUGCUGACGAGUGGCGGACGGGUGAGUAAUGUCUGGGAAACUGCCUGAUGGAGGGGGAUAACUACUGGAAACGGUAGCUAAUACCGCAUAACGUCGCAAGACCAAAGAGGGGGACCUUCGGGCCUCUUGCCAUCGGAUGUGCCCAGAUGGGAUUAGCUAGUAGGUGGGGUAACGGCUCACCUAGGCGACGAUCCCUAGCUGGUCUGAGAGGAUGACCAGCCACACUGGAACUGAGACACGGUCCAGACUCCUACGGGAGGCAGCAGUGGGGAAUAUUGCACAAUGGGCGCAAGCCUGAUGCAGCCAUGCCGCGUGUAUGAAGAAGGCCUUCGGGUUGUAAAGUACUUUCAGCGGGGAGGAAGGGAGUAAAGUUAAUACCUUUGCUCAUUGACGUUACCCGCAGAAGAAGCACCGGCUAACUCCGUGCCAGCAGCCGCGGUAAUACGGAGGGUGCAAGCGUUAAUCGGAAUUACUGGGCGUAAAGCGCACGCAGGCGGUUUGUUAAGUCAGAUGUGAAAUCCCCGGGCUCAACCUGGGAACUGCAUCUGAUACUGGCAAGCUUGAGUCUCGUAGGGGGGGGUAGAAUUCCAGGUGUAGCGGUGAAAUGCGUAGAGAUCUGGAGGAAUACCGGUGGCGAAGGCGGCCCCCUGGACGAAGACUGACGCUCAGGUGCGAAAGCGUGGGGAGCAAACAGGAUUAGAUACCCUGGUAGUCCACGCCGUAAACGAUGUCGACUUGGAGGUUGUGCCCUUGAGGCGUGGCUUCCGGAGCUAACGCGUUAAGUCGACCGCCUGGGGAGUACGGCCGCAAGGUUAAAACUCAAAUGAAUUGACGGGGGCCCGCACAAGCGGUGGAGCAUGUGGUUUAAUUCGAUGCAACGCGAAGAACCUUACCUGGUCUUGACAUCCACGGAAGUUUUCAGAGAUGAGAAUGUGCCUUCGGGAACCGUGAGACAGGUGCUGCAUGGCUGUCGUCAGCUCGUGUUGUGAAAUGUUGGGUUAAGUCCCGCAACGAGCGCAACCCUUAUCCUUUGUUGCCAGCGGUCCGGCCGGGAACUCAAAGAAGACUGCCAGUGAUAAACUGGAGGAAGGUGGGGAUGACGUCAAGUCAUCAUGCCCCUUACGACCAGGGCUACACACGUGCUACAAUGGCGCAUACAAAGAGAAGCGACCUCGCGAGAGCAAGCGGACCUCAUAAAGUGCGUCGUAGUCCGGAUUGGAGUCUGCAACUCGACUCCAUGAAGUCGGAAUCGCUAGUAAUCGUGGAUCAGAAUGCCACGGUGAAUACGUUCCCGGGCCUUGUACACACCGCCCGUCACACCAUGGGAGUGGGUUGCAAAAGAAGUAGGUAGCUUAACCUUCGGGAGGCG
rnacentral:rRNA from 1 species